AGGUCAGAGGCAAGUCAUCGACUGUCUUGUAAACAGGGGGUCAUCGGUUCGAAUCCGAUAGGGGGCUCCA
rnacentral:tRNA from 1 species